AUACGGCCAUAUCACGUUGGAACAUCGGUUCUCGUAAGAUCACUGAAGUUAAGCAACGUCAAGCCAGAUCAAUACCUAGAUGGAUGACCACUUGGAAAUACCAGGUGCUGUAAG
rnacentral:rRNA from 1 species